rnacentral:rRNA from 1 species
UACGUAGGAUGCAAGCGUUGUCCGGAAUUAUUGGGCGUAAAGAGCGCGCAGGCGGUCUGACAAGUCAGAUGUGAAAGAAGCCGGCUUAACCGGCAAGGGUCAUUUGAAACUGACAGACUAGAGUGCACAAGAGGAUAGUGGAAUUCCCGGUGUAGUGGUGAAAUGCGUAGAUACCCGGAGGAACACCAGUGGCGAAGGCGGCUUCCUGGUCUGCGACUGACGCUGUGGCGCGAAAGCUAGGGGAGCAAACGGG